ensembl:miRNA
AGGAGUAGCCGUCAGAUUGAGCAACGUGGUGCUGCUCGGUGGUGGAAUGAUGAUAAGUCUGACGGCCAGCCU